rnacentral:rRNA from 1 species
ACACAUGCAGUCGAGGGGUAACAGGGAGUGCUUGCACUCUGCUGACGACCGGCGCACGGGUGCGUAACGCGUAUGCGACCUACCUUCUACAGGGGGAUAGUCCAGAGAAAUUUGGCAUAAUACCCCAUACGAUCAUUUAUUGGCAUCGAUAGAUGAGGAAAACUCCGGUGGUAGAAGAUGGGCAUGCGUCCUAUUAGUUAGUUGGUAAGGUAACGGCUUACCAAGACAUCGAUAGGUAGGGGUCCUGAGAGGGAGAUCCCCCACACUGGUACUGAGACACGGACCAGACUCCUACGGGAGGCAGCAGUGAGGAAUAUUGGACAAUGGAGGCAACUCUGAUCCAGCCAUGCCGCGUGCAGGAAGACGGCCCUACGGGUUGUAAACUGCUUUUAUACAGGAAGAAACGCCGCUACGUGUAGCGGUUUGACGGUACUGUACGAAUAAGGAUCGGCUAACUCCGUGCCAGCAGCCGCGGUAAUACGGAGGAUCCAAGCGUUAUCCGGAAUCAUUGGGUUUAAAGGGUCCGUAGGCGGUUUUUUAAGUCAGAGGUGAAAUCCUGCAGCUCAACUGUAGCAUUGCCUUUGAUACUGAAAGACUUGAGUUAUUGUGAAGUAGUUAGAAUGUGUAGUGUAGCGGUGAAAUGCAUAGAUAUUACACAGAAUACCGAUUGCGAAGGCAGAUUACUAACAAUAUACUGACGCUGAGGGACGAAAGCGUGGGUAGCGAACAGGAUUAGAUACCCUGGUAGUCCACGCCGUAAACGAUGGAUACUAGCUGUUCGACCAACAUUGGUUGGUUGAGUGGCUAAGCGAAAGUGAUAAGUAUCCCACCUGGGGAGUACGCUCGCAAGAGUGAAACUCAAAGGAAUUGACGGGGGCCCGCACAAGCGGUGGAGUAUGUGGUUUAAUUCGAUGCAACGCGAAGAACCUUACCAGGGUUUGACAUCCUGCGAAUCUCUUGGAAACGAGA